AAGAGAACACAAAUGACCACAUAGAUAUUAUCAUCACAACCCCAUGAAACUGUACAUCUAAAACAUUACUGAAAUGCAAAAAAAUAUCCAAAACAAUAUUUAAGUAUCACAAAACAUCAUUUAAAAUAAUACUCUAGAAAAUAGAGAAUAAAAGUAAAAAUCCAAAUCAAACCGGAGUAGGUGUAGUAUUAGCACCAGAAGGAGAAGGAGAUCGUGGCUCAACUCUCCUAAGCUGAAUGGCUUUGUGAGACUCAUCAUCAUCAAAGUACAUAUAAGCAAAACCACCGUGCCUGGUCAUAUCCAUACCGGCCAUCUCAUCCUCGGACGAUAUCCGCAACAAUUUCAUUUUCUUGAGGAUGAAGAAAAGUGUCCCCAUGGUCGCACUUACCCAACCCGUGAUCACAAUGAUCUGAAUCAGCUGAGCUCCAAGUAGUUUUCCUCCACCGCCCAUAAACAAACCGUGUGGCCUUCCGGGUUUGUUGCCGUAAAUCUGGUUCAAGUACUUUUCUUGAGCGAAGAGAGCCGUGAAUAUUAGUCCCCACGCACCGCAACCACCGUGUAGUUGUGCUGCCUCAAGAGGGUCGUCGUAUUUGAGCUUCUCAGCGAGCUUGUUGCAUCCGAGGAGGACUAGGGCCGCCACGAACCCGCAGAUGAUCGCAGCCCAUGGCUCAACGACAGAGCAGCCACCAGUUAUGGCUGCAAACCCUCCGAGGAGGCCGUUGCAUACAUCAGUGACGUUCCAAUGUCCCGAGAGUAGACGUUUCCCAAAUAGGGUUGUCAGCGCCGCGGUGCAGCCAGCUAACGUUGUUGUGACAGCUGUCCGUCCGACCGCGCUCCACUGGCCGUUGUAUGUGCCUGUCUCGUACGUGACUAGGAUCUUGUUGAAGGAACCGGGGUUAAAUCCGUACCAUCCAAACCAGAGGAGGAAUGUUCCAAGGACAACAAGUGACGCCGAGUGGCCACGAAGAGCGAUGGCACGGCCUCCGUUAUCGAACCGGCCAAGUCGUGGACCUUCGAUGAGCGCACCCCAGAGUCCAGCGAUACCUCCGACCAUAUGAACAACACCGGACCCAGCGAAAUCUAUCGCUCCGGUGCUGAAAAGCAAAUCUCCAUCGGUACGGAACGGGCUGGCCCAUCCAUCAACUGACCAGAACCAGUGAGAGACGACCGGGUAAACAAACCCGGUUAAGAAAGAGGAAUAGAUUAGGUAAGCCACGAACUGUGUCCGUUCAGCGAUCGAGCCACUUGUGAUUCCAGCCGCAGCGAUUGCAAAGGCCCAUUGGUAGAGAAAGUUGGAGUAGUCAGCAGAGGCCGUGGGGAUGUCUUUGAGACCAAAGUAGUGUUUACCGAUGAAACCAUUGGACGGAGAUCCAAAGGCAAAGGCGUAGCCAAACAGAUAAUAGAAGAGACCACCGGCUGCAGCGUCAAGGACGUUGGUAAGCAUGAUGUUCAUAGUAUUCUUGGCUCUCACGGAACCGGCACAGAGCAUAGCGAAGCCAAGCUGCAUAGAGAAGACAAGGUAGGCGGAGAAGAGAAGGUAAGUGUUGUCUAUAGCGAAAGCGGUGUCGAUAAAUUUGUUGUUGACGUCGCCUAACUGGCCACAGAUGUAGUUGGCCGCCGCCGUGGCAUUAGGACCCAACAGGACAGCGAGAUCGGUGGCCGAGCAAGACAUGUUGAGAGUUUAGAGAAGAAGAUGAAACAGAGAGGCUGAGAAAGAAAGUGUUUUGUUUCUCUGUUUAUAUAAAAGAAGGAAGCUAAAGGCCUAGG